UACGUAGGUGGCAAGCGUUGUCCGGAUUUACUGGGCGUAAAGAGCGCGCAGGCGGUCUUGUAAGUCGAGUGUGAAAGCCCCUGGCUCAACCAGGGAGGGUCAUUCGAUACUGCUUGACUCGAAGGCAGGAGAGGGAAGUGGAAUUCCGGGUGUAGUGGUGAAAUGCGUAGAGUAUCCGGAGGAACACCAGUGGCGAAGGCGACUUCUGGCCUGUUCUUGACGCUGAGGCGCGAAAGCUAGGGGAGCAAACGGG
rnacentral:rRNA from 1 species